rnacentral:rRNA from 1 species
UAGUCCACGCCGUAAACGAUGGAUACUAGGUGUCCGGGAAGUUAACCUCCUGGGUACUACAGCUAACGCGUUAAGUAUCCCGCCUGGGGAGUACGGUCGCAAGGCUAAAACUCAAAGGAAUUGACGGGGGCCCGCACAAGCGGUGGAGUAUGUGGUUUAAUUCGAAGCAACGCGCAGAACCUUACCUACCCUUAACAUUUCACGCUCGCCUCAGAGAUGAGGUUUUCUCUUCGGAGACGUGAGGAUAGGUGCUGCAUGGCUGUCGUCAGCCCGUGUCGUAAGAUGUCUGGUUAAGUCCAAUAACGAGCGCAACCCUUAUCCUUAGUUACCAGCAUUGAGUUGGGUACUCUAGCGGAACUGCCGUCGAUAAGACGGAGGAAGGUGGGGAUGACGUCAAGUCCUCAUGGCCCUUACGAGCCGGGCUACACACGUGCUACAAUGGUGCUGACAAUGGGUUGCGACGCAGUGAUGCUGAGCUAAUCUCUAAAAGGCACCUCAGUACGGAUUGCACU